GAUGAACGCUGGCGGCGUGCCUAAUACAUGCAAGUCGAACGCAUUGAGAGAAGUGCUUGCACUUUUCAAUUUGAGUGGCGAACGGGUGAGUAACACGUGGGCAACCUACCUGAUAGCGGGGGAUAACGAGUGGAAACAUUCGCUAAUACCGCAUAACAAUAGAGAAGGCAUCUUCUUUAUUUAUAAGGCGCGUUCAAGCGUCACUAUCAGAUGGGCCCGCGGUGAAUUAGUUAGUUGGUGGAGUGAAGGCCUACCAAGACGAUGAUGCAUAGCCGAGUUGAGAGACUGAUCGGCCACAUUGGGACUGAGACACGGCCCAAACUCCUACGGGAGGCUGCAGUAGGGAAUCUUCCACAAUGGACGAAAGUCUGAUGGAGCAACGCCGCGUGUGUGAUGAAGGCUUUCGGGUCGUAAAGCACUGUUGUAUGGGAAGAAAUGCUAGGCUAGGAAAUGAGCUUAGUUUGACGGUACCAUACCAGAAAGGGACGGCUAAAUACGUGCCAGCCGCCGCAGUAA
rnacentral:rRNA from 1 species